UACGGAGGGGGCUAGCGUUGUUCGGAAUUACUGGGCGUAAAGCGUACGUGGGCGGCUUUGUAAGUUAGAGGUGAAAGCCUGGUGCUCAACACCAGAAUUGCCUUUAAGACUGCAUCGCUUGAACGUCGGAGAGGUGAGUGGAAUUCCGAGUGUAGAGGUGAAAUUCGUAGAUAUUCGGAAGAACACCAGUGGCGAAGGCGGCUCACUGGACGACUGUUGACGCUGAGACACGAAAGCGUGGGUAGCAAACAGG
rnacentral:rRNA from 1 species